GGAUGAAUGGCUGAGUGGAUAAAAGCAUCAAUUUUGAAAAUUGACAUAAGUUUAACUUAUCGUGGGUUCGAAUCCUACUUCAUCUG
rnacentral:tRNA from 1 species